rnacentral:lncRNA from 1 species
CUGGAGCAGUGGAACACCAAGGUCUGGAGCAGUGGAACACCAAGGUCUGGAGCAGUGGAACACCAAGGUCUGGAGCAGUGGAACACCAAUGUCUGGAGCAGUAGAACACCAAGGUCUGGAGCAGUAGAACACCAAGGUCUGGAGCAGUGGAACACCAAGGUCUGGAGCAGUAGAACACCUAGGUCUGGAGCAGUGGAACACCUAGGUCUGGAGCAGUGGAACACCAAGGUCUGGAGCAGUAGAACACCAAGGUCUGGAGCAGUGGAACACCAAGGUCUGGAGCAGUGGAACACCAAGGUCUGGAGCAGUAGAACACCUAGGUCUGGAGCAGUGGAACACCAAGGUCUGGAGCAGUGGAACACCAAGGUCUGGAGCAGUGGAACACCUAGGUCUGGAGCAGUGGAACACCAAGGUCUGGAGCAGUAGAACACCAAGGUCUGGAGCAGUGGAACACCAAGGUCUGGAGCAGUGGAACACCAAGGUCUGGAGCCGUGGAACACCAAGGUCUGGAGCAGUGGAACACCAAGGUCUGGAGCAGUAGAACACCUAGGUCUGGAGCAGUGGAACACCAAGGUCUGGAGCAGUGGAACACCAAGGUCUGGAGCAGUGGAACACCUAGGUCUGGAGCAGUGGAACACCAAGGUCUGGAGCAGUGGAACACCAAGGUCUGGAGCAGUAGAACACCUAGGUCUGGAGCAGUGGAACACCAAGGUCUGGAGCAGUAGAACACCUAGGUCUGGAGCUCGGGACAGAUAGACACUGCCA